GUUUGAUCCUGGCUCAGAGUGAACGCUGGCGGCAGGCCUAACACAUGCAAGUCGAGCGGCAGCGCGUCCGACCACCCUCGGGUGGUCGGAUGGCGGCGAGCGGCGGACGGGUGAGGAAUGCAUCGGAAUCUGCCUCGUUGUGGGGGAUAACGUAGGGAAACUGGUGCUAAUUCCGCAUAAUAUCCCGGGGCUACGAGCCUCAGGAUCAAAGCCGGGGACCGCAAGGCCUGGCGCUUGAAGAUGAGCCCGCGUCCGAUUAGCUAGUUGGCGGGGUAAUGGCCCACCAAGGCUUCGAUCGGUAGCCGGCCUGAGAGGGCGGACGGCCACACUGGAACUGAGACACGGUCCAGACUCCUACGGGAGGCAGCAGUGGGGAAUUUUUUCGCAAUGGGCGCAAGCCUGACGAAGCAACGCCGCGUGGAGGAUGAAGGUCUUCGGAUUGUAAACUCCUGUCGACCGGGACGAAUGCACUCGACCUAAUACGUCGGAAUGUUGACGGUACCGGUGGAGGAG
rnacentral:rRNA from 1 species